UGCUGAUUGAACACGUUAAUUGUUGUCGCUGUGGAGUGGAUCUCUGGUGGACAGUGGCAGUACGACUUGUAGCGUGUGUUUUCUGCUUAGUUACCUUCCCAGGGGCGUAGUUCUUGGCGGGGAUUGAGGGCAAGAUCAAGUAUGUUACGUCUUUAUCGUACUAGCCCCUUGACAGCUGCACGCGACUCUGUGGUAGCGAUGGUUCCCACUUUGAUAAGCGCAUCCAUAAAUCCACCAACAAAACGUAAACUAGAUCAUCGACUGUCUAUUGAAAAUGGAAUUCUAACCCAAAGCUAACAAGUAUAUGCUACGACAAGAAGCAUAAGAACUAUAUGAUACCCUCCACAAGUACUCGUGGGAGCAAAUGUUCCGAGUGGCUAGGGCCAUCACAUCCAUGAAAAUCUUUAAUUAAAUAAACGAAAUAAUAAUUAAA